rnacentral:lncRNA from 1 species
GCCGAGUGUCUGCCACCCUGCAUGCCCACACUGAAUCCGUGCAGGGCCCUCCCGGCCGCCUGCUCAGCUGUGGACACGGAGCUCCGGCACAGCCAAGUCCUGAAUGACAUGCAGCCAAUUCUCUUGGGCCCUUUCCGGGUUUGUCUGUGGUCCUUCCUUCUGUGUUUCCAGGCUGAGUCCUAAGGCCCUGGUCCUGUGCCCAGUGUGGUGCCUUGGAAGUUCUGAAAGUCACAGGACACAGCAAGCAGAUUCCAUCUGUGGACCAGGACGCAGGUCCUCAUCAGACAUCCAAUCUGCUGGCAAGUUGGUCUUGAACUUCCAGCCUCCGGAACUGCGAAUCGUUGUUGACAAGCUACAUAGUCUGUGUAUUCCAUUAUAGCAGCCCAAAGGGAUGAGAAGAUGGAUAUGGCCCGGAGAUAAUGCACACCUCUCGUGGGGACAGUGUCCCCAUCCCCCUCCGGCUGCACUGAAGACCUGGAGCAAUGGCUGCCAUCCAUGCGCGAGGACCCCUCGGAGGUUCCACCUGCACAGACCUUGCUAAGGGUGAGGUGAUUACUAGAAGGAGCACCUUUUCUAGUUAAAAUCUAACUAGAUUCUCCUUGGCAACUUGUCUUACAGAAACAGGUAUAGACUAUCACCUUGCCCAGCUGGGCGCAUCUUCGGAGGGAGGCCUGGGGCCACGUGCACCUAAUGAAGGUGCCUGGGAGGGGGCUGGCUUUCCACUCAGCAAAUGCUUUCUUACAGAAAGACUGUGGGGAGAGUCCGUUUUCUUAGAGCCGUAUGAAGAAAUCCUAAAAACCAACUGCCCAAUCUCAACUCGUAACAGGGAACCUGGGGAGUGACAUCAGAGAUUCCCAAUGUUUUCCUCCUCGUUGAUCCCUGCGAUGAAGGCACUUGCCCAUGUGUAUUCUGUAGUAGGAGUUUGCAUUCUGAAACUGGUCUUUAUUAAAGAACAAACACAUUAUUUACAAAUUAUAGUAAGAGAAA